GGAGGAGAAGGGGAUGACAGAGGAUAAGAUUGUUGGAUGGCAUCACCAACUCAAUGGCUGGAACACCAGCAAGGAAGGUGGGAGAAACUUCAGUCAGACAAAGCAGACAAAGAUCAAAGGGCAGGCCUGAAGAAUUUGGUUAGAAGUUACAAGGAGUCCCCUACACACGAACCUUCAAGUUGAGAACUUUCAAAGAUGCGAACGUGCGUUCCCCUGUCCAAUCAUGUAAGUUAGUUCAUGCAUCUGGAGUGUAUUGUCAUGUGAGUGCAUCCUCUAUGAGAGGUUGUGCUUUUGUGUACUGGAUUGCAAGAUUAAAAAUAUUUGGUUUUG